rnacentral:rRNA from 1 species
UGCGUAGGUGGCGCGGUAAGUCGGGUGUGAAAUUUCGGAGCUUAACUCCGAAACUGCAUUCGAUACUGCCGGGCUUGAGGACUGGAGAGGAGACUGGAAUUUACGGUGUAGCGGUGAAAUGCGUAGAUAUCGUAAGGAAGACCAGUGGCGAAGGCGGGUCUCUGGACAGUUCCUGACGCUGAGGCACGAAGGUCAGGGGAGCAAACG